GAUGAACGCUGGCGGCGUGCCUAAUACAUGCAAGUCGAGCGAACAGACGAGGAGCUUGCUCCUCUGACGUUAGCGGCGGACGGGUGAGUAACACGUGGAUAACCUACCUAUAAGACUGGGAUAACUUCGGGAAACCGGAGCUAAUACCGGAUAACAUGUUGAACCGCAUGGUUCAACAGUGAAAGACGGUUUUGCUGUCACUUAUAGAUGGAUCCGCGCCGCAUUAGCUAGUUGGUAAGGUAACGGCUUACCAAGGCAACGAUGCGUAGCCGACCUGAGAGGGGGAUCGGCCACACUGGAACUGAGACACGGUCCAGACUCCUACGGGAGGCAGCAGUAGGGAAUCUUCCGCAAUGGGCGAAAGCCUGACGGAGCAACGCCGCGUGAGUGAAGAAGGUCUUCGGAUCGUAAAACUCUGUUAUUAGGGAAGAACAAAUGUGUAAGUAACUAUGCACGUCUUGACGGUACCUAAGCAGAAAGCCACGGCUAACUACGU
rnacentral:rRNA from 1 species